rnacentral:rRNA from 1 species
AUGGCCUUCGCAAUGCGCCUAGCGUCCUGCCCCGGCGCGUCGCUGCAGGCGGCGACGGCCUGGCCGUCCAGCCUCGGCUCCGCGGCGCCACGGCCGCGGCCUCGCCGGCGGUGGCCACGCAUCAGGUCGUCCGCGGCCGCCUCCGACCAGCAGGCGCUUCUGGCCGCCCUGCGCGAGCAGGCGGACCCCGAGGCGGCGCUCCGGAUGCUCAACUCGGCGCUCGCGCGGGACGACUUCGCCCCCGGCCGCGACGUCUACGAGGAGAUCAUCCGGAAGCUCGGGACCGCCGGCGCCUUCGACCUGAUGAAGGUGCUCGUCAGGGAGAUGCGCCAGGAAGGGCACCAGGUUGGACCGGGCGUGGUGCAGUCGUUCAUAGAGGGCUACGCGCGGCUGCACAUGUUCGAUGAUGCCUUCGACUUGGUUCUCAACCAGCUUGACAUGUUCGGCAUUCAGGGAGACGCAGUGGUGGUGGCGUACAAUCACCUUCUCCGUGUUCUCAUGGAGGGGAGUAAGAUCAAGCUCCUUGAAUCCGUCUACACGGAGAUGGGCAAUAGGGGCAUCAAACCUGACCUUGUCACUUACAACACAGUGAUCAAUGCGUUGUGUGGAGUUCAUCAGGUUAGGACUGCAGUUCUGAUGCUGGAGGACAUGUCUAGCGAUGGUGUGGCGCCUAACGAGGUGACAUUCACUACGUUGAUGCAAGGUUUUGUUGAGGAGGGGAGCAUCGAGGCAGCACUGAGGAUGAAGGCACGGAUGUCAGAAAUGGGAUGUUCGCCAACGAGUGUAACAGUCAAUGUUUUGAUUAACGGGUACUGCAAGCUUGGAAGAGUCGAGGAUGCUCUCAGUUAUGUACAGCAAGAGAUCGCAGAUGGUUUUGAACCUGACCAGGUCACAUUCACUACAUUUGUUAAUGGUCUGUGCCAAAACGGGCAUGUUGAUCAUGCCCUCAAAGUCAUGGAUUUGAUGCUCCAGCAGGGUAGUGAUCCAGAUGUUUUCACCUACACUACUGUUGUAAACUGCUUGUGUCAAAUUGGAGAACUUGAUGAGGCUGUGGCAAUCAUAAAUCAGAUGGUGGAUAGCGGUUGUUUGCCUGACAUUACCACCUUCAAUACUCUCAUUGUUGCCUUAUGCACAGAGAAUCAUCUUGAGGAAGCCUUGAACCUUGCACGUGAUCUGACGGUGAAGGGACUCUCUCCAAAUGUUUAUACUUUCAACAUUUUGAUAGAUGCCCUUUGCAAGGUUGGAGAUCCUCAUCUUGCUGUUCGAUUGUUUGAAGAGAUGAAAAGCAGUGGAUGCACCCCUGAUGAACUUACAUACAAUAUAUUGAUUGAUAACCUGUGCUCAUCGGGGAAGCUUGCCAAAGCUUUGGAUUUGUUGAAGGAGAUGGAAGUUAGUGGUUGUCCUCUGAGCACAGUGACAUAUAACACUAUAAUUGAUGGGUUAUGCAAGAAACUGAGAAUAGAAGAAGCAGAGGAGGUUUUUGAUCAAAUGGAUGUAACAGGUAUUGAAAGGAAUGCGAUCACAUUCAAUACACUUGUUGAUGGAUUGUGCAUGGCCGAAAGGAUUGACGAUGCAGCAGAACUUAUUGAACAAAUGAUAAGUGAAGGGUUGCAACCUAAUAAUAUCACUUACAAUUCUAUUCUAACUCAUUACUGCAAGCAAGGAAACAUAGGUAAAGCUGCUGAUGUUUUACAAACUAUGACCGCAAAUGGAUUUGAAGUUGAUGUUGUUACAUAUGCAACACUCAUUAAUGGCCUGUGCAAGGCUCGUCGGACUCAGGCUGCUUUGAAGCUUCUUAGAGGUAUGCGGAUGAAAGGGAUGAGGCCAACUCCAAAAGCCUUCAACCCUGUGAUUCAGUCUCUAUUUAGAGGGAAUAACGGCAGGGAUGCUCUGAAUCUGUAUAGGGAGAUGACAGAAGUUGGCGAGCCUCCUGAUGCUUUGACAUAUAAAAUUGUUUUCCGUGGUCUCUGUCGUGGUGGUGGCCCUAUUAAAGAAGCUUUUGAUUUCUUGGUAGAGAUGGCAGAUAAGGGUUUCAUACCAGAGUUUUCAUCAUUCCGCAUGCUAGCUGAUGGUCUACUGAACCUGGGUAUGGAUGAUUACCUCAUAAGUGCUAUUGAACUAAUUGCAGAGAAGGCCAACUUCAGAGAAUCCGAUGUUUCUGCAAUAAGGGGUUAUCUCAGGAUCCGUAAAUUUUAUGAUGCAUUAGCAACUUUUGGCCGUCUCCUGGAUAUCAACAACCCUCGAUGGACUUAUCGAUGA